UCACGUCUCUCCCUCUCUUCCUCACCCAUCUCACAACCUAGUAAAGGAAAGAGAAACCCUAAUAUAUCUUUCCCCUCCCCAAACCUCACGUCUCUCCCUCUCUCGCUCAACCAUCUCACUUCUCUCUUCUCCCUCAACCCACAUAUCACUUCUCCCCUAGAAGAAGAAGAAGAAGAAGAAGAAAGAGGAUUUUUGGCACAUUGACGUCGUGGGCCUCUAAGACUCUUCCACUUGCAAAUCCAAGGAGUGCACUUUAAAGACUUCAAGUGAUGAGAGCUAGAUGAGUUGAGGAGAUCGCUUGGAGGCAAACUCACCCAGUAAUCCAUGGCAUGUGGUUUUAGUUUUGGACUUGUGGUUUAUAACACUUGUUCGUUAAUCAUUUAUGUACUCCUUUCUUUAAUUGUUUAAU